rnacentral:rRNA from 1 species
AUUGAACGCUGGCGGCACGCCUAACACAUGCAAGUCGAACGGCAGCAUUUUCUGUAGCAAUACACUUGUAAAGCGGCGAACGGGUGAGGAAUACAUGGGUAAUCUACCAUCGAGUGGGGAAUAACCAACCGAAAGGUUGGCUAAUACCGCGUACGCCUCCGAGUCUUCGGGUUCGGAGGGAAAGCUGCACUGUGAGUGUAGCGCUCUUUGAUGAGCUCAUGUCCUAUCAGCUUGUUGGUAGGGUAACGGCCUACCAAGGCUUUGACGGGUAGCUGGUCUGAGAGGACGAUCAGCCACACUGGCACUGCGACACGGGCCAGACUCCUACGGGAGGCAGCAGUAAGGAAUAUUGCGCAAUGGGCGAAAGCCUGACGCAGCGACGCCGCGUGGGGGAUGAAGGUCUUCGGAUUGUAAACCCCUUUCGGGAGGGAAGAUGGAGCGAGCAAUCGUUCGGACGGUACCUCCAGAAGCAGCCACGGCCAACUUCGUG